UGCGUAGGUGGGGAGGUAAGUCAGCGGUGAAAUCCCCGAGCUUAACUUGGGAACUGCCAUUGAUACUAUCUCUCUUGAAUACCUUGGAGGUGAGCGGAAUAUGUCAUGUAGCGGUGAAAUGCUUAGAUAUGACAUAGAACACCAAUUGCGAAGGCAGCUCACUACACGGUCAUUGACACUGAGGCACGAAAGCGUGGGGAUCAAACAGGAUUAGAUACCCUGGUAGUCCACGCCCUAAACGAUGGAUACUCGACAUCAGCGAUACACUGUUGGUGUCUGAGCGAAAGCAUUAAGUAUCCCACCUGGGAAGUACGACCGCAAGGUUGAAACUCAAAGGAAUUGG
rnacentral:rRNA from 1 species